rnacentral:RNase_P_RNA from 2 species
CCAAUGUUAAUCUCGUACUUGGGGCGCACAUACUGAACGUUCGUCGUUAUCAUCGCCCCGGGAAGGUCUGAGGAAAGGUCUCCUGUGUUCAAAACAUUCUAGACGGAUGCUUCUCCUAUCGGGAAGAUGGGGGAACAAGAAAAUACAAAGUCAAGUUUAAGCGAGGACGUCUGAGCUCUCGGGCUCAGAUCGAGCAGAGAAUUUGGAUUUUGUUGGAAGCCCCCAUGACCAGCACUUUUAGUCCAAUCUACGAGAUGACGCCAAGUCACAACUCAAUUCAGACUAGUCUCUCAUUGG